GCCUAUGGCCAUACCACCCUGAACACGCCCCAUCUCAUCUAUUCUCAGAAGCUAAGCAGAGACAGGCCUUGCUAGAAUUUGGAUGGGAGAGUAUAUGCAUCUAAGUUCAUUAGAGAUAUCGGUC
rnacentral:rRNA from 1 species